UGGUGGAGAAGUGAGGCACCAAAAAUGAGGUUGUGCGACUCUUCAGAGAAACACUAGAGGAUUAAUUCCGAAGAGUCCUUCUGCAUGAAGUGACUCUUAAAAUUAAUUCAGAUAAUUUCAUGUAUUAGAUAAGACUUGGACCAAUGUUUCAAAGGUGGAAGGGUGUGAUUUUUGGGUGUGGGAAUUGGGUUGGAAUGGUGCGAAUGCAUUCGAUCUUCGGAUAUAAAAGGGGAUGCGCGUCGGGGUUCU
rnacentral:lncRNA from 1 species